rnacentral:rRNA from 1 species
GGCGAACGCUGGCGGCGUGCUUAACACAUGCAAGUCGAACGGAAAGGCCCUGCUUUUGUGGGGUGCUCGAGUGGCGAACGGGUGAGUAACACGUGAGUAACCUGCCCUUGACCUUGGGAUAACUUCAGGAAACUGGGGCUAAUACCGGAUAGGAGCUCCUGCUGCAUGGUGGGGGUUGGAAAGUUUCGGCGGUUGGGGAUGGACUCGCGGCUUAUCAGCUUGUUGGUGGGGUAGUGGCUUACCAAGGCUUUGGCGGGUAGCCGGCCUGAGAGGGUGACCGGCCACAUUGGGACUGAGAUACGGCCCAGACUCCUACGGGAGGCAGCAGUGGGGAAUAUUGCACAAUGGGCGGAAGCCUGAUGCAGCAACGCCGCGUGCGGGAUGACGGCCUUCGGGUUGUAAACCGCUUUCGCCUGUGACGAAGCGUGAGUGACGGUAAUGGGUAAAGAAGCACCGGCUAACUACGUG